rnacentral:rRNA from 1 species
AGAGUUUGAUCCUGGCUCAGAUUGAACGCUGGCGGCGUGCCUAACACAUGCAAGUCGAGCGAGAAAGGUCCUUUCGGGGACUGAGUAGAGCGGCGCACGGGUGAGUAACGCGUGGGAUAUCUGCCCGGGAGAUCGGGAUAACAGUGGGAAACCGCUGCUAAUACCGGAUACGCUUCACGAUUAAUCUCGUGAGGGAAAGGUGGCCUCUUCAUGAAAGCUGCCACUCCCGGAUGAGCCCGCGUCCCAUUAGCUUGUUGGUGGGGUAAAGGCCUACCAAGGCACCGAUGGGUAGCUGGUCUGAGAGGAUGAUCAGCCACACUGGGACUGGAACACGGCCCAGACUCCUACGGGAGGCAGC